CCUACGGGUGGCAGCAGUGGGGGAUAUUGCACAAUGGGGGAAACCCUGAUGCAGCGACGCCGCGUGGGUGAAGAAGCGCCUCGGCGCGUAAAGCUCUGUUAGCAGGGAAGAAAAUGACGGUACCUGAAGAAGAAGCCCCGGCUAACUACGCGCCAGAAGCCGCGGUAAUAUGUAGGGGGCAAGCGUUAUCCGGAUUUACUGGGUGUAAAGGGGGCGCAGACGGGGAUGCAAGCCAGGAGUGAAAGCACGGGGCCCAACCCCGGGACUGCACUUGGAACUGCGUGGCUAGAGUGCAGGAGGGGCAGGCGGAAUUCCUGGUGUAGCGGUGAAAUGCGUAGAUAUCACGCAGAACCCCGAUUGCGAAGGCAGCCUUCCGGCGCGCUACUGACGCUGAGGCACGAAAGUGCGGGGAUCGAACAGGAUUAGAUACCCCAGUAGUC
rnacentral:rRNA from 1 species